CAUCUGCUUUUUUGUCAGCUUCAUUCAUUUGUUUGUGAUUUGGACAAUUUGGACUCAGCAACACACCUGCAGCACUGACUGGUUUCCGUUUCAGACGUGGUUGCCAACGAUGGCAAACAAGGGGAAAUGAAAUGGUUCCCAAUGGAAGAUAUAUCUCGAUGAUGAGCAGCGUCUGAGGAUCCACCACGUUGUUGUUUUCAGGGAUAAAAAGAUGUAACUCAUUCGCUGCUUAUCUCCAGUGAAAUAUUGGCUUAGACCUUGAGGGUCCACCAGUUCUGUCCAUUGGGCCCAUUCUUUCUGGUGGUACUGUGGGCUCCUGCCACAGAAGCUAAAUGGGGUGCUCCACGCAUUGGCCUGAAACAGAUAAGCACAGACAGCAACUAUCAGGAUCAGAUGCAAAAGAUGCAAAAAGGCAUCACUGGACAUAAAAAAACUGCAGGAGCCGAAUGAAAGUUGACGACAGAUCUGAGCCGUGUCAUACGAUGCAUCGUGAAUGCGAAAAGUCACUCUGUGAAAGAAGAAGGCACAACCAAGUUUUUUUAUGACGGUGGGCCAGGUUUUAUGUUUAUGGAUGUCUGCACUCAACGUGUGGAUGACUGUCUGCGGGGAGAGGGAUGCUUGUCCAUCAUAACCUGUGUAGCUUUGAAAGACAAGGGGAGGCCUGUGCAUUUGAUGUUAUUUCUUUACAUAGGUGAAAGAUUGUAAUAAGAGAGAGUUGAAUAAUAUGAGAGGUAAAGAGAGACAAAAUGAUAAUCUUUUCCCUUUUGUAUUUCUUGCUUGUGCUACAAUAG